rnacentral:tRNA from 1 species
GUGAGUAUAGUUAAAAAUAACGCUAGACUGUGAAUCUAGAAAUAGAAGCGCAACCCUUCUUAUUCACC